GAGAGAAAGAGAGAAAGAGAGAAAGAGAGAAAGAGAGAAAGAGAGAAAGAGAGAGCUUACAGACCGUUUCUACCGUUCAGCUCGCACGGCUGUCCUUCACCGACACUUCGAAACGUAGAACGCACCCGGUUCUCGCGCCACAGUUAACUCGGACACCCUGUACACCACUCGCGGCGACGAUCUCCUCCGCCGUCGAACACUUUCCACCCGGUCCACGCCGGAACGAGAAUACCUCGGGUUUGCGUGUCCCCGGCGGCGGAGAGGACGCGCGAUGGAAGCACGGAAGACGGCGGCCGGACGCUUUGUGUGUCGUAGGUGGGCCCAGACGGGCGAGCCAGACUGUCCCAGGAGCGCUCGGAUGGCUUCCUAUAUGCAGGCAGCCUGUUCACUUGCCGUAAAGCAAAAUGGCUCCUCUCGAUCCACGGAUAAAAGGGAAAUCGUUCCCUGCGAAAGAUGGUCGACGCACUUUCAACCGUCCUGCCAGUCUGGACACUUGUUUUCAAUGAGCCCCUUUUUACCGAUACCGUGAACCGUGAUCAUCGUUCCACUCGGUACCGAUACUGGAAGUUGCGUGGCUGGAGUCUGAGAAUCGUAAACGGGAGCGGAGCGCUGCUGCUCCCCGAGGUGCAACAACCUUCGCGGACCAAGAAGAACUAGGAUAAACCAGUUGUGUGUCUCUGCGUGACGCCACGUCUUUCUUUGGUGGACGGCGGCGCGAAAUACCGACGGGCGGUAGACAGAGGAGUCGUCAGCCCGUUUCGCCGUCGGAGCAGCGAGUGCCUUAGCACUUACGGUAGCGUUACCUGCGUACGAUCGUGCGAAGCGGUCCCCUAAACGGCGCACGGUGUCGUUGGAACGACGACGGACCUUCCACCGGCGAACCGCACGGACACCGUGGACCCUCCGACCACCGUUGCCGCCCGAAGCCGCUCGGGGAACACCACGGGCGCUCGACGCUAGAACUACCGUGUAUUUAAUACCCUUAGCGGUAUUACCCUUAACCCUUAGCGCUCCAGAUGGUCUUGUAAUCUAUCGGCAACUGCAACUAGUUUUUAUAGUAUCCCUAGCGAAAAUGAGAAAUAAUUGUAGAGUAGUUUCUUUAAGAUUCAUUCAAAUAUAUAAUAUUACUCCUGGUGCAAUAUUGGAGCCUACAGAGUUCAAAGGGUUAAUAUAUAGUCCCCAUAAAAAUUGUAACAAUAGAUUAUCUUCAGACAUUCGUUACAGUAGUCGAGUAAAACUAUUUUCAAGAUAACUUUGAAUAUUCAAUGCCUUCGAGAUAAUAAUUGCGGAACAAAUGAAAACCAGUCAUUCUAACUGGCACGGUAGUUCUAGUAUUAACACAUUGCGUACCGGCUAAUUUUCAGAAAACUGAAUUGUGAUGGCAAUUUUCAGUGAGGUCAACUUAUAUCACUAUACAUAGAAAAACUCAAAUAUCAUAUUGUUGUGUAA